rnacentral:rRNA from 1 species
GAAAGGAGCGAUCCGGACAGGGAUGGGCAUGCGGCGCAUUAGCUGGUCGGCGGGGUAACGGCCCACCGAGGCGACGAUGCGUAGGGGUUCUGAGAGGAAGGCCUCCCACACUGGUACUGAGACACGGACCAGACUCCUACGGGAGGCAGCAGUGAGGAAUAUUGGUCAAUGGGCGGGAGCCUGAACCAGCCAAGCCGCGUGAGGGAAGAAGGUACAGCGUAUCGUAAACCUCUUUUGUCAGGGAACAAAGGCGGGGACUAGUCCCCGGAUGAGGGUACCUGAAGAAAAAGCAUCGGCUAACUCCGUGCCAGCAGCCGCGGUAAUACGGAGGAUGCGAGCGUUAUCCGGAUUUAUUGGGUUUAAAGGGUGCGCAGGCGGCCUGUUAAGUCAGCGGUAAAAGCCCGGGGCUCAACCCCGGCGAGCCGUUGAAACUGGCGGGCUGGAGUUGGAGUGAAGUACGCGGAAUGCGCGGUGUAGCGGUGAAAUGCUUAGAUAUCGCGCAGAACCCCGAUUGCGAAGGCAGCGUACCGGCUCCACACUGACGCUGAGGCACGAAAGCGUGGGUAUCGAACAGGAUUAGAUACCCUGGUAGUCCACGCAGUAAACGAUGAAUGCUUGCUGUCCGGGCAGAGAUAUGCCUGG